rnacentral:rRNA from 1 species
GGAGGCGCGCGAUGGUUGGCUCAGGACGGUUGGAAACCGUCUGUUAGAGUGCAAUGGCAUAAGCCAGCCUGACUGCGAGACUGACAAGUCGAGCAGAGUCGAAAGACGGCCAUAGUGAUCCGGUGGUCCCGCAUGGAAGGGCCAUCGCUCAACGGAUAAAAGGUACGCCGGGGAUAACAGGCUGAUACUGCCCAAGAGUCCAUAUCGACGGCAGUGUUUGGCACCUCGAUGUCGGCUCAUCUCAUCCUGGGGCUGGAGCAGGUCCCAAGGGUACGGCUGUUCGCCGUUUAAAGAGGUACGUGAGCUGGGUUUAGAACGUCGUGAGACAGUUCGGUCCCUAUCUUCCGUGGGUGUAGGAUAUUUGAGAAGAGUUGCCCCUAGUACGAGAGGACCGGGGUGAACGAUCCACUGGUGGACCUGUUAUCGUGCCAACGGUAGUGCAGGGUAGCUAUGAUCGGACAGGAUAACCGCUGAAGGCAUCUAAGCGGGAAGCCCCCCUCAAAACAAGGUAUCCCUGAGGGCCGUGGUAGACCACCACGUCGAUAGGCCGGAGAUGUAAGCGCAGUAAUGCGUUCAGUUGAC